UUGAUAAUGUAUCAUUGGAAGAACAUGUUAGAUAAGUCUAUCAUAAAGAGGACAACAUAAAUAACAAAUGUUGUGUUGUAUGAACAAAGGAACUUGAGAAGAUUAGCACAAAGACAUGGACACUUUUAGUGUCAUAAUUCUUCCAUUACAAAUUGUUGUAUGAAGAAAUAAGAGUUGCUUUGAACAACCCUUAGUCAAUGCAAACACUUAGUGCUUGUUUCUUUGUUAAAUGAACAAGGAACUUGAGAAGAAAGCACAAGGGCAUGGACACUUUAUGUGUCAUUAUUCUUCACUUACAAAUUGUUGUAUGAAAAAAUGAGAGUUGCCUUGAACAACUCUUGAAAGUUUGUAAUUAUGUUUAGAACAUAAUGGUUGG
rnacentral:lncRNA from 1 species